GAUGAACGCUGGCGGCGUGCUUAACACAUGCAAGUCGAACGGGAAACCUUUUAUUGAAGCCUCGGCAGAUUUCGCUGGUUUCUAGUGGCGGACGGGUGAGUAACGCGUGGGUAACCUGCCUUAUACAGGGGGAUAACAGUCAGAAAUGGCUGCUAAUACCGCAUAAGCUCACAGAGCUGCAUGGCUCAGUGUGAAAAACUCCGGUGGUAUAAGAUGGACCCGCGUUGGAUUAGCUGGUUGGUGGGGUAACGGCCCACCAAGGCGACGAUCCAUAGCCGGCCUGAGAGGGGGAACGGCCACAUUGGGACUGAGACACGGCCCAGACUCCUACGGGAGGCAGCAGUAGGGAAUAUUGCACAAUGGGGGAAACCCUGAUGCAGCGACGCCGCGUGAAGGAAGAAGUAUCUCGGUAUGUAAACUUCUAUCAGCAGGGAAGAUAAUGACGGUACCUGACUAAGAAGCCCCGGCUAACUACGUG
rnacentral:rRNA from 1 species